rnacentral:rRNA from 1 species
GACGAACGCUGGCGGCGUGCUUAACACAUGCAAGUCGAACGGAAAGGCCCUGCUUUUGUGGGGUGCUCGAGUGGCGAACGGGUGAGUAACACGUGAGUAACCUGCCCUUGACUUUGGGAUAACUUCAGGAAACUGGGGCUAAUACCGGAUAGGAGCUCCUGCUGCAUGGUGGUGGUUGGAAAGUUUCGGCGGUUGGGGAUGGACUCGCGGCUUAUCAGCUUGUUGGUGGGGUAGUGGCUUACCAAGGCUUUGACGGGUAGCCGGCCUGAGAGGGUGACCGGCCACAUUGGGACUGAGAUACGGCACAGACUCCUACGGGAGGCAGCAGUGGGGAAUAUUGCACAAUGGGCGGAAGCCUGAUGCAGCAACGCCGCGUGCGGGAUGACGGCCUUCGGGUUGUAAACCGCUUUCGCCUGUGACGAAGCGUGAGUGACGGUAAUGGGUAAAGAAGCACCGGCUAACUACGUG